CCACAAUCAUGGAGUUAUGUGCUGGUGAGACCAGAUCAAGUGUUUGGAUCUUCACAAGCAUCAAAACUUCCUCAGGACACUUCAGUUGGCCUACCAGCCUCUUCAAAAUUUGCAUGCAAGAUGGCCCUCUUUCAUUUUGAUCGGUCUUUGGUACGGAAUUUGAAGCUCCUC